rnacentral:sRNA from 12 species
CCUGCCAAGCCUCUUGAUAAUGCUCAAAUCGGCAGGU